rnacentral:rRNA from 1 species
CUCGUAAGAGUUGGCUGUUUUUGUGUCUANACGCAUAGAGAGUAAGGGCUGGGUAAGACGGGUGCCAGCCGCCGCGGUAAUACCUGCAGCUCANGUGGUGNNCGCUAUUAUUGGGCCUAAAACGUUCGUAGCCGGUUUGNUAAAUGCCUGGGUAAAUUGUGUANCUAAACUAUACAAAUUCCGGGUANACUGCUAAACUUGAGACCGGGAGAGGCUAGAGGUACUCCUGGGGUAGAGGUGAAAUUCUGUAAUCCUGGGGGGACCACCAGUGGCAAAGGCGUCUGGCUAGAACGGGUCUGACGGUGAGGGACAAAGCCCUGGGGCGCAAACCGGAUUAAAUACCCGGGUAGUCCAGGGUGUAAACGCUGCUUGCUUGAUGUUAGUUGGGCUCCGAGCCCAAUUANUGUCGGANAAAANUUGUUAAGCAAGCUGCCUGGGAAGUACGGCCGCANGACUGAAACUUAAAG